rnacentral:lncRNA from 14 species
UGCUGUUCAUCAGUAUCCUACUGGAAUGCUUCAACAAACAGCAAUUAACUUCUUGGUACUCAAUUGGGCUGUGAUGGUGUGAUUAUCCCUGUUUUGGAGGAAAGGAACUGGAGCAGGAAUAUUGCAUUUAAAAUGCUCUGCUUGCGGUUGCUCUCUGUGUUGGAAAAGGCAAGAUCAAAGACGUGUGUUUUGACGUACAAGUCCUCCUUUGUUUUUCAUCCACAAGCUGAUCUGAACCUUCUGUGCUGCCUUGAUAAUGUGGGCAGCUUGUGGCAAAAGACAAGUAGGGCUGUGUGUGUCACUUGCAUCCUGCUUGUCUUUUGAGUCUGUGGCAUCUGACCAUUUACCACUAGUCCAAAGAAGACUGACAUUGAUGCUAGAAGAUGGAGAUGCAUAGACAGGAAGGAAGAAACUCUGUGAAAACACAUUCAUGGCUGAGGCAGAUCUAUCGAGGUAAUGAUUCAUCAGUUCCUUAGCUGCUUUCCCUGUGGACAGAACAAUUUUUCACACUAGUGAGUGCAGAAUUUUAUUUGAUUAUUUAAAUCUUUGAGAUAACGUAUCUUUCCUGGCAUCAGUAAACUGCAGUGGAUGUUUUUUGAGGCCCAAAAAAGUGAGCAGGUUUCUGGUAGUGUCUUGGUUAUGAUACAGAUAUCGAAGGCAGAAUUUAUCAGAAUGAAUAUUGGUGACUGCUGCAUAGGUGUCUACAUUAGGGCAGGUCAUCCCAUGCUCAUUUUGUAGUCUUUGGAGGGCUUGUUAAUAUGUCCAUGGAUGCAGUUCAGACCUUCAAAACCAGAAAGGUGAACAGCAGCUAAAUCCAAACAACUACAGAUAGCAUUCCUAGUCUGAAAAUCUGAUUCAGAAUGAGUUGCACCAAACAUGGCUGUAAGGAAAGGAGUUUCACAGAAUCCCAAGGGUUGGAAAGGACCUCGAAAGAUCAUCUAGUCCAACCCCCCCGCAAGAGCAGGGUAACCUAGAGUACAUCACACAGGGACUUGUCCAGGCAGGCCUUGAAUAUCUCCAGCGUAGGAGACUCGUUUGGGGCUUUUCCCUGUAUGACACUGAAAUAUGAAUUGUUGAACCCUCCCCUCCCUCCCCCAGAAAGUUAAAUUUAGACUAUUUCACAAAAAAAAAAUCCACAAGGCUUCAAUGUGUGGCUUCCUUCUGAUUAUUCCUUAAAUAAUAUCAAUUUGUAAUAGAAUCUAAAAUAAUCUGUAAAGGAACUUAAAAUCCAUGUGAACUUUGGUCUAGGUUCUAUCAGCAAGCAAGGUCUUGUUUUAAUUAUUAAUCUUGGAUAUUUGUUACUUGAGGAAAAUCCCACUGUAAUGGCUUUUGCCUUCAUAGAGUUUAUGGUCAAAACGAACUCCAUCACUGUUCUGUUUCAGCCUCCUGUGUUUAAUCUAGUUCAUUUUGCAUUGAGUCUGAUAAGUAUUUGACUAAGGUAUUUCUCAGUAAUAUAACUAAAAUAAAAACAUUACCCUUCCAUCUUAUCUUUAGUUU